rnacentral:lncRNA from 1 species
CCUGCGCAUCCAGCUCCCCCAUGGCUGAGCUCGCCCCUGAUGCCGCGCCUUGCUCCCUGGCACAGCAAGCUCACCGCGCCCUGGGUCGCGCGCCCUGGCUCCUACUCGGCCGCUGCUUCUCUCUGAAGCUCUCUCACGCGCGCGUGACUGCCUUCUCUGCACCUCCUGUGCUCGGACCGCGAAACUCUUUGGCGCUCUCCCAUGGCGGCGCGCCCAUCCCCCAAGCUCCUUGCCAUGGCCGCCAUCUCCCAUGGAAGCUGCGUCCAGCCGAGCUCCCAGCGCUGCAGCCUUCCCCCAAUUCCUCUCUGCUCGCGGAGCUCCCUCUGCCUGCUUCCCAUGGCGCUCGUCCCUACCUGCUCAGCCUCCGGCUCCGGCUCGCCGGCGCUCCUCCCUGUGCCCAGCCGUGUUUGCGCGGACCUCUGCUCCUUCAUCCCACGCGCUUGCUUCUCUGUGCCCACGCGCGCGCGAAGCUCUUUGCGCACCGCGGCUCGAUCCCUUCAUCCCGCGCGCGCUCUGGCUCUCCGUCAGCACGUCGCGCCCUGCCGGUUCUCUGCUCGACCAUGGAAGUCGCGGUUCCCAGCUCCCUCUGCUCGUGACGCGCGCCCAGCCAUGGAGUUCUCGCGGUGCUCCUGUUCCCCGUCCAUGGCACCGUCGUUUUUCAUCUUCGCGUCCCAAGUCUGGCUGUCUAGCGCGCCCUCCUGCUCCCUGAUUCAAGUUUCUGCGCGUCGUCGCCCAGCUCGCCCAAGUCGCCCAUGCCUAUGCACGGUGUUCUUGUCGAUGCUGUGCUGUUGCCCAUGCUGUAGAGCUCGCCUUGCUCCUCGCGUUGUCGUUCGUCGGUUUCGGAUGCUUGGGUCUCUAGCCGCGUGUCCGUCUCUAGUCCUGGCUGCGGGGCAGUCCGCGCCAUUGAGUUUGCCCGGCCAUGACCUCGCUUUGCUCCUCACGUCAUUGCUCGCCGAGUCUUUACUCAGUCUGCGAUCUCUCACUGCCCGUCGUUGCGUCGUUCGUCGUCGUGUGUGUAGCAACAUCGCUGAUUCCUCCAUGGUGCCUAUCGACGAACUUUGCUUCAUCGGUUUGUCGCCUUCGGUUCGACACAUGUGUGGCCGCCGAAUACGUUCGCUGCUUAACCCCGUGGUGUUAGAGCUCGUGAUCUCACUGUCGUCAGAGUUCUCACUGGAUUCGUGUCCUCGCCAGCUCGCUCCAGACUCGAUCUUGUCGUCGUUCGUUCACCCCACCUCGAUGUCGGUCCCUACAUGCUGUCUCCGACUUAUGCUCGCGCCGACAAAAGAAUCCCAAGAAGAUGUGGAGAAGCAAGCCCCUGGUCGAUGUCCCAAGUGCUCGACAGAAAGCUCGAACAAGUCGUCGAUCGUCAUCCUCGUCCACGCCAAGAUCCGAGAAGAUUAGGCGCAGAAGAAAAUAAAUUAGUACGCGACCGGAGGAUACUCGAUGCGGAUAAAGAUGAAGCGUGAUUCGACACAGCACUCACCCUAUUUCCGGUGAAAUGCUGAGCUGAAAGGAGUCGUCGAUUUCGUUGUUUCAAGUCGGAUUUAAUAAGGGUAAGUUGAUUCGUAUUCCAGUCAACUAGGUAUAUAAAUAGAUUAAAUAGAAUUGUUGAUCGCAAUAAUUGUUAUUAAUUUAGCAUACGUAUAUUGUGAUGUUUGGUUUAGAUAAAUCGGUAAAUCAAGUAAUUAAAAUACACAGUUUAAAGAAUUAAUAAAAAGCUAGGAAUGAAAAUAGAAUUUCUAGUGUUAUUAUGUCAAUUUGGUUAAUGGAUGUAGUCCAUGCCCUGCUUAAUUAGUCAGCUUGUUCUAGGUUUGGUGUUUAAUUCGCUGUCGUAUAAGUAUUAUUUAGGUUUGCGAUAUUCCUCCUUAUAUGCAUACAUGUGCAUUAUGCAUAUCAUUCAGGUACGUUAAUUAAUCACGUGACACGGAAGACGACCCAAGUCGAACCCAAGCGCGGGCUAAUCCGCAGGUUGAUGCUGAUGGACGAACCAGAAGAUGGAUAAUUUGAACGAGUGCAAACAUAAAAGAUGAUCGUCAAGUGGACAUCGCCUAACAAACACUAACCUAGUGUUAUUCAGGCAAGCCCCGGUGCAUUUGCCACCUCCUUGAUGUUUUAAAAUCUUUAUCACCUUGUUUGAUGCAUUAGGUGAUAGGAGUUGUGUGCUAAAGCGUUGAUGCAUUUCCUUCCUUGAAAAUUGAUUACCCUUCCUUGAUAUCCUUUUUAAAAAAGAAUUUUAUGAUGCUUAGCCUUGCUUUAUCAAACAAAAAUGUUUUGUUUUAAAACAAAAGUGAUGCUUCAGUGGGUGGGAAUGUUUUCAAAAAUAAAACUUGAUGGUGGAUCCGUCAAAGGCCUUGAUGGGUUCAACAUCGGAAAAGAUGUACCUCUGCCAGGUACCAAACUUUGGGUUGAAAUUAAUAAAGCUGAGACCGGGCGGUUGACUUGCACGAGAAGGGAGUCUCGGUGUAGUGUCUUCGUCUGAGUCGAUUAAGGACCUUGUCGAUGUAGGCUUGCUGAUCGAGGACCUUUUAACUGGUCACAUGUCUCAUCAUGGGUAAGCUUUGCCUCGGGCAGACUAAUACCAGAAUAAGAUAACACGCAAUGGGAGUGGAGAGAUGGCGAGAGUAGCGUGUACCCUCCGUGGCAAGAGGCUGGACGGUGGUGUAUCUGUGCUCUCGGUUGGCGUGAACCUGAUCUGGUCUUAAGAACCCCGGUGGUGAGUUGACAUAUGCAAGGGUUAAGUGCUACAUAUGUCGUGUGAUCGGAGAUCCCCAGCUGGGUAUUAAUCGAUUCGGAUCGCUGUUACUUCUCGGACAUGAAGACUUGGUCACUGCCCUACACGUAGCAAUCCAGUGAACUGAAGGGAUGAUAAAAAGACGGCUAGUAUAGGCCAAGUGCUUGAACUAGGGUAGAAAGAAUUCUAGAUGCAAGUAACUUUACUUAACCCGACAAUUAAAAAUGGAUUUUAAGGAUCCACUCAUAGUAAGCUUUUCUGCAAAAUAGAGUCUUUGCUUCUUGAACAGCCAUACCUUGAAUCCCUCUAGCCAGCAUACCCUUGAGUGUCUUUUCUUUAGUCGGGUAAGUCUUGCUGUGUAAUUUCGUACUCAGGAUUUUAUUCCCUGUUGUUUUCAGGUUAUAGUUUUGUGGUGCUGUUGAUGGUGUUAAGCGCCGGUGGGCUCGGCCUUCUUGUAAGUCUAAGUAACUCUUCUAUACUUCUUAUUGAGGAUGGUCACUUGAGCUAGCAUAUAUUUCAAAACUACCAAUAAUCUAUAACAGUUCAAAGUAACUUCUUUGAAUCACUUUUGUAAUCACUCCGAUCAUGUACAUUGUAAAACUUGAUGUAACUUGUAAAAAUUUGGUAAUAAGAUUUCCGCUGCAAAAAUAUUGUUGGUGUGUGAUUUGUGUUACUUAAUCUUGCGAUCCAGGUUAUAAGUGGUUUAUUCGGGGUCCUUGGGACACUCGAACAGAUCCUAUUAAGUUAUCUGGUGCACAUGCAUAGUCGUAUGAGGUCUUUGGGACAAGCGCAGGUGCAUGUGGGCCCAAUAACUUGGGAGGUUCUGCCACAGCUGGUAUCGGAGCUGGAUUAAGUAUAAUACGAUCACAUGUGUAUUUUAAAAUAAAGUUUUGGUUUUAGAAAACCUAUUUCCAACUAAACACAUUGUUUGGCUUUGAAAAACUAUAAUGCUAGCGACAUCCUCUGUUAAGCCCUAAACUAAGGACUAUCAGGUGGCUUAGUUCAAAACAAUAACCCACAACUGGGUGGGUAUUGCAUACAUGUGUAUUGUUAUUUUUGAGGCCAUUCAGUUCUAAAUGGAUCGACGCUCAAGGUAAGGUGUGAGAGCAUGACCGAACAACCGUCGGUCUAGGGAAGAGUAUAAAAAGCGCUUGAUUAUAUACAUGUUCUACAUAUGUAUAUAUGAAGGCUGCGAUAUGGAGUAAUUACUUUUCUGGGAAUUCAGUACCCCAUGGAUGUGUAUGGGUAUACGGACAUGGGAAUACUGAGAAGUGUAAUGUGCUUGUAACGACGCACCUACGCUCAGGUAAGAAGGUGAGUUACCAUAAUGAGUUGCCCUAUGGUUAAAGUGUGGCAAUGGCGCCUAUGCGUGGCUCAACGCUUAAUGAUGAGCUAGCCUCCAUAUAGCAAUAUAUGGAGUAUAAACUGCGAUAAACUGUCAUGUGUGAAUUGCAUCAUUGGAAAAUUGGGCUGCAAUGGAAUUUUCUACAGGUACACUAACCUCGAAAACGUAUGUAUAGCUGACGAUUAGCAAAAUACCGUGAGAGUCGUUAGUAUGCCACCGAUAUAGAACGCUAUUGCCAUAGUAUGUUGGCAAAAUUCGUGAGGAUGAUUAGGACGAGCAUGCAUCCUGAUUGUUGCAUCAUGUUUGUUACCUAUACACCCAAAAUGCUUCUCUCCCCUUUAUUCUAAUAACCGGUGAUUGUAGAUAAUGUGGUGUAAUGUUGUAUUGUGAACUUCGAUGAAAUAGUUGUCCUCCGUUCCUUAGGUAGUAUGUUUAGGUGUUAUAUGUGUUGCCCUUGUACUUGAUGUGUCGAUAGAAGGUUGGUGACCUGUUUGCCUAAACCGAAAUCUAGGCCAUGUUCUUAAUUAGUGAACCAUGACCCAAAUUUGAAUUUUUCAUUAUCACCCCAUGGCCCAGUUCGAUUGGUACAAGUUGAUGUCCCUUAUCCAGUUUGUCUGUUUUUUAGGAUCACAUCAUUGUGUCAUCAACCAACCUAGGAAAGACAUGUCCAAUCAUUUUCUUGAAUUUGAUGCCUUUGGUUUCCCCAUACUUAUCGAAGGCAUACCAACUUAAUCUUCUGAUUUUUUUCCCUCCGUAUCUAACCAGAUACUAAUCCUUGACUUGGUAAUCUCUGUGAUGGGCAUAGAAAUAUGCUUGGGGCUGAAUAACAGUCUCCCAUCAUACCUCCUUCAUCAAGCUUAGGUUAUGACCAUGUCUUGUCCAUUUUAUCGGACCAUGAUCUAUUUGGCUCUCUACUUGUAACCAUCCUUACAGGUGGAGUAUCUCUUUGUACAUUGUUACCCUUGCACAAUUUAUUUGUGUCACGUGAGAUUUCUUAUUGGUUAUGUCUGAUAAUGGUGUUAUGACUAAAACCAGUGGUGUUGUGACGAAACCGAGGGCCUUCUGUGUGUGCGCACAUGGUUGCGCUACUCGACACACGCUAGUAUCACAGUUAGUAGUCAUAAUCAAUAAUGAGAUUAUAUCAAUAUGUUAUCUUCCAUAGACCUCUUCCUUGAAACAAUUUCUAUGUUGUUUGUGAAGUGAUCAAGCAACAUCUGUCAUCUCCGUUGGAUCAAAAGGGCAUACCACUUUCAUGUGUGGUCUUAUUUCUUUUGAUCUUGGUAGUGACUACUCAUACAAGUUCCCUUUACAUCCUUUGUGUAAAGGUGAAUCCUUGGAGCUUUUUAGUGUUGGAAAACAACUAAUUAGCUCUCAAAUUGGAGAUUGGCUUUCCCUGAUGCAGGAAUUUGUUCAUUCGCUCUCUUAUUUAAUCCAAGUAUUCCCUAACCAAGUGGAUAAUUCAUCUCGCAUGAAGAAACGGAUGAACAACCUGACCAAAUGGAUUUCUACCCAAGUGCAUGAUCACCUGGUACCAAAAGUGAACUCUUAAUCCCUAGCUUACCGAUGGAUAAUAAGAGGACAUACCCAAUGUCAACAGUAGUUCAACAAGUUGGUUUUGACUAACUUGUAACUGCCCAAUGAACGAAGGCUGAGUUUAGAGAUCAUUUUAUCGAGUUGUCUAAACUCACUUUGGCUCGACCCAUCCUAAGGAAGUGUUUAUAAGAAUCGAGGUUAAGUUGACCAGUAAACCGUAAUUAUUGCUCUAGUCAUGCCUUGAUUGCCUCACGUGUGCUUUUCCAACAUGAGUGAUCCGGUCGAGCCAUGAUUAGUGCUGAAUAAAACGGACUGGUUGCAAAGUCCGCAUCUACAGAUCCCUCCGCUGGUAAUUUUCUCGAGUCUAUAUCACCUUUCAUGGACUUGGAUUUUCUGGCUGCCACGAGUAACUGUGAUGUUAUUCGACAUCCACACUCGUCUUACGUGCUAUGAACUUACCGCGGCCACUUGUUGGUAAACCCCUUUCUAUGUGUUUUACCCAAGAGGUUGUAUCUGAUUCUGUUUGGGUAAAGUCGCAUAUCCACCGCUCGCUCAACAGACUCAGAUAGUACAAUGUCAUCAGAAAAAGCAAACUGCACAUAUGGAACCUUAUGUGUUCCUCUGGCAGACAGCGUCUCUAUUGGUGGACCUUUCUAAAUUAGCCUAAGGCGAUACAUGCUAUGUCCGCUAGAGAAACAACAUUCUGAGACACUCGCCUUUACUUGGAACUACCUUGUGAUUAUCGCUGAUAUGAACAUGGGUUACAUACUUCUCUACCCUUAGAAGUCUUUCGCUAUGAAUCUCGGGACGAGAUUCUUUUAAGGGGGAGGGCUGUAACACCCAAGGUGUUUAUCGUCUGCUCGACCUCCAGUGCGGACUUUAACACGUAAUAUCAGUGGAUGAAACGGAUGCUAAAUUUUAAUCAGCUUCACCUAUCGCGAUUUUAAUAUCGCAUCUAUUUCAUCUGUCGCGAGUGCGACAUUGUUUUUAUUUUAUCUAUCCGGGCUUUUCCAAAAUUCUCGUGAUGUUCGGAACAUCGUUGUUCCAAAAAUCGGUGCGUCCGAUGAUUAUUUAAAAUUCGUCGCUCGCGCGAAUACGAAUUCGGAAGCCCAACCCACUUUGAUGAUUUUGUUCUGAGCAAAUUAAUUUGAACUCGAUGAUUAAAAUGUUCAGGGUAAAAUAAUCUGAAUCACGCAUUGUCCGAGGAAAAAUCGUGCGCGAGGUUAUAAUCCAAUUUGUUCUUCAGCCCACACUGUAGGAUAAUCAAAUCAAAUGUGUUUUGGUGACGGAUAAAUUUUUAUCUGAUUUCGAUCAAACCAGUGUUGUCUUAAAUAUUGUCUAAAUAUUGUAGCCUGAUCUAAUUUGGCUCUUCAAAAUCUUAAUUUUGAAACCCUGAUAUUUUUGCGCAAGAGAGAAAAUAACAAAAAUGGAAAUGGAAAUAUCCUCUCUCUCCUGCUAUUCUCUCUCUCCUCUGAUUUUUUUUCAGCCAAAAUCUCUAACCCUUCUCCGAUUUUUUUCAGCCACCGCUAUUCCCUCGUCUUCAUCCGGCCACCGCUCAGGGGAGAAAAGAUCUCCAGCCGCAGGGGGAAAGAAAAAUCAUCUCUGCGUUAUCUGCAUGCGUCGCUCAAGGAGAAAAAUCUCGUCGCCCCUGUUCCUUUUUAACGAGCGCGCAGUCCUUCUUCCCUGCGCAUCCAGCUCCUCCUACUCCCUCCCUGCAGCUCCCCAUGGCUGAGCUCGCCCCUGAUGCCGCGCCUUGCUCCCUGGCGCAGCAAGCUCGCCGCGCCUUGGGUCGCGCGCCCUAGCUCCUGCUCGCGCCGCUGCUUCUCUCUGAAGCUCUCUCACACGCGCGCGACUGCCUUCUCUGCACCUCCCUAUGCUCGGACCACGAAACUCUUUGGCGCUCUCCCAUGGCGGCGCGCCCAUCCCCCAAGCUCCUUGCCAUGGCCGCCAUCUCUCAUUGAAGUUGCAUCCAGCCGAGCUCCCAGCGCUGCAGCCUUCCCCCAAUUCCUCUCUGCUCGCGUAGCUCCCUCUGCCUGCUUCCCAUAGCGCUCGUCCCUACCUGCUCGGCCUCUGGCUCCGGCUCGCCGGCGCUCCUCCCUGUGCCUAGCCGUGUUCGCACAGACCUCUGCUCCUUCAUUCCGCGCCAUUGAGUUUGCCCGGCCAUGACCUCGCUUUGCUCCUCACGUCAUUGCUCGCCGAGUCUUUACUCAGUCUGCGAUCUCUCACUCCCGUCGUUGCGUCGUUCGUCGUCGUGUGUGUAGCAACAUCGCUGAUUCCUCCAUGGUGCCUAUCGACGAACUUUGCUUCAUCGGUUUGUCGCCUUCGGUUCGGCACAUGUGUGGCCGCCGAAUGCGUUCGCUGCUUAACCCCGUGGUGUUAGAGCUCAUGAUCUCACUGUCGUCAGAGUUCUCACUGGAUUCGUGUCCUCGCCAGCUCGCACCAGACUCAAUCUCGUCGUCGUUCGGUCACCCCACCUCGAUGUCGGUCCCUACGUGUUGUCUCCGACUUAUGCUCGCGCCGACAAAAGAAUCCCAAGAAGAUGUGGAGAAGCAAGCCCCUGGUCGAUGUCCCAAGUGCUCGACAGAAAGCUCGAACAAGUCAUCGAUCGUCAUCCUCGUCCACGCCAAGAUCUGGGAAGAUUAGGCGUAGAUCCACGAAGAUUAGGCGCAGAAGAAAAUAAAUUAGUACACAGCCGGAGGAUACUCGAUGCGAAAAAAGAUGAAGCGUGAUUCGACGCAGCACUCACCCUAUUUCCGGUGAAAUGCUGAGCUGAAAGGCGUCGUUGGUUUCGCGAUUUCAAGUCGGAUUUAAU